UCCUGGCUGGUUCAAUUGGAAGAACAUGUGACUCUUGAUCUCAGGGUUUUGAGUUUGAGUCCCACGUUGGGUA
rnacentral:tRNA from 1 species